GGCUCAUUAGCUCAGUUUGUUAGAGCGUCGUGCUAAUAACACGAAGGUCUUGGGUUCGAUCCCCCAUGGGCCA
rnacentral:tRNA from 1 species